rnacentral:rRNA from 1 species
AGACCCGAAACCCGGUGAUCUAGCCAUGGGCAGGUUGAAGGUUGGGUAACACUAACUGGAGGACCGAACCGACUAAUGUUGAAAAAUUAGCGGAUGACCUGUGGCUGGGGGUGAAAGGCCAAUCAAACCGGGAGAUAGCUGGUUCUCCCCGAAAGCUAUUUAGGUAGCGCCUCGUGAAUUCAUCUCCGGGGGUAGAGCACUGUUUCGGCUAGGGGGCCAUCCCGGCUUACCAACCCGAUGCAAACUGCGAAUACCGGAGAAUGUUAUCACGGGAGACACACGGCGGGUGCUAACGUCCGUCGUGAAGAGGGAAACAACCCAGACCGCCAGCUAAGGUCCCAAAGUCAUGGUUAAGUGGGAAACGAUGUGGGAAGGCCCAGACAGCCAGGAUGUUGGCUUAGAAGCAGCCAUCAUUUAAAGAAAGCGUAAUAGCUCACUGGUCGAGUCGGCCUGCGCGGAAGAUGUAACGGGGCUAAACCAUGCACCGAAGCUGCGGCAGCGACACUCAGGUGUUGUUGGGUAGGGGAGCGUUCUGUAAGCCUGCGAAGGUGGCCUGUGAGGGUUGCUGGAGGUAUCAGAAGUGCGAAUGCUGACAUAAGUAACGAUAAAGCGGGUGAAAAGCCCGCUCGCCGGAAGACC